UGAUUUAACGCUGCAUUUAGCAACAUUACCACAAAAUCAUUGCAGGCGACACCAGAAUUGGAAUUCACACAUUGUACCCAUAUGGGAAUCAAACCCAGGUCUUCAGCAUGACGAGUGAAC